ACGCUGGCGGCAGGCCUAACACAUGCAAGUCGAGCGGCAGCACGGGUACUUGUACCUGGUGGCGAGCGGCGGACGGGUGAGUAAUGCCUAGGAAUCUGCCUGGUAGUGGGGGAUAACGUUCGGAAACGGACGCUAAUACCGCAUACGUCCUACGGGAGAAAGCAGGGGACCUUCGGGCCUUGCGCUAUCAGAUGAGCCUAGGUCGGAUUAGCUAGUUGGCGAGGUAAUGGCUCACCAAGGCUACGAUCCGUAACUGGUCUGAGAGGAUGAUCAGUCACACUGGAACUGAGACACGGUCCAGACUCCUACGGGAGGCAGCAGUGGGGAAUAUUGGACAAUGGGCGAAAGCCUGAUCCAGCCAUGCCGCGUGUGUGAAGAAGGUCUUCGGAUUGUAAAGCACUUUAAGUUGGGAGGAAGGGCAGUUACCUAAUACGUGAUUGUUUUGACGUUACCGACAGAAUAAGCACCGGCUAACUCUGUGCCAGCAGCCGCGGUAAUACAGAGGGUGCAAGCGUUAAUCGGAAUUACUGGGCGUAAAGCGCGCGUAGGUGGUUUGUUAAGUUGAAUGUGAAAUCCCCGGGCUCACCUGGGAACUGCAUCCAAAACUGGCAAGCUAGAGUAUGGUAGAGGGUGGUGGAAUUUCCUGUGUAGCGGUGAAAUGCGUAGAUAUAGGAGGAACACCAGUGGCGAAGGCGACACCUGGACUGAUACUGACACUGAGGUGCGAAAGCGUGGGGAGCAAACAGGAUUAGAUACCC
rnacentral:rRNA from 1 species